UACAACCGUUGUGUUUAGUAUGACAUAAUUAUUAAUUCUACCCUUUUAAUGAGAUCAGUCUUAUCACUUUAAUCCUAAUAAGAACAACACUCUCUUGUUUCCCAUUGUUGUUGACGUUUGUGCCGUUUUUAUCGCUAAUGCGAUACUUCAAGCAAGAUCUUGUUCAAGCUAUGAACUGGGGUUGUGAAGGCUUUCAUUUGAUAAUCCAUUCAUGAUAUGGACCUAAAUAUUUCCGUAUCAUCCGAUUAAGAUUGCUACUAUCAAAGAAAGUGAGAAGAUACAAAAGUAGACAAGAAAAAUGACAAAAAAUAAUUGUUUAAUUCUUCCUGUUAUAUUUUUUGUUGUAUGAUUCUUCUUUUAGUGUUGUUCUUAUUUUCAUGCUAAAUUUGUUGUAUACAUUGGAGAUUACAUUUUAUGUAUUAUUUCUUCAUUAAUUUAUUUCUGUAUUAAUAUUGCAAGAAAUGUUUUUUUUUUUUUUUUGAGGGAAAACGUUAGCAAGGAUUUUAUUAUAGAUCAAGAGCCGCAAGAGUUAAAAGACUUUGCGGUAUGUUACCAAUACAAAUAAGUUCAUCACUAUUUCGAGUAUCCCAUCUAGCCAUGAGAUGAGCUACCGAAUAAAUAACGUAUACCAACUUUUUUAUUUCUUUAAAAAAAAAAAAAAAAAAAAAAAAAAAA